AAGUACGAAAGUGGAAGCAUGUAAUUUGAUACUUUGCCUACUCCCCCUUGAGCGAUCAAAUUUCCGUGUGACACGUGACCAGCCCCAGCCAGGGUCUUUGCUUCACAAGAGGAAAGAGCCUGGGAACGAGGUUGACUGCUGCAUGGCUUCUUUAGAAAUGGCCAAAAUAUUUUCAUGAGGUGAAAGAUGGAAUUUUCCAAGUUCCAUCUUUGAUUGAAUGAAAAUAUUUUUACUCGUAUUGCACGAAUGAAAACAUUAUUUUUUUAUUAUUUGUUUAUGUAACACCAAAAUGCUUUUUGGACUUGUUUGUUGAAUUUUUAUAUUAAUUUUGAACAUUCUACAUGUAACUCAGGU